rnacentral:rRNA from 1 species
CUACGGGUUGCUGCAGUGAGGAAUAUUGCACAAUGGGGGGAACCCUGAUGCAGCAACGCCGCGAGGAGGAUGACGCAUUUCGGUGUGUAAACUCCUUUUAUAUGUCAAGAAAAUGACGGUAGCAUAUGAAUAAGCACCGGCUAACUCCGUGCCAGCAGCCGCGGUAAUACAGAGGGUGCAAGCGUUACUCGGAAUCACUGGGCGUAAAGGACGCGUAGGCGGGUUGGAAAGUCAGGUGUGAAAUCCUACAGCUUAACUGUAGAACUGCACUUGAAACUUCUAAUCUAGAGUAUGGGAGGGGGAGAUGGAAUUAGUGGUGUAGGGGUAAAAUCCGUAGAUAUCACUAGGAAUACCUAAAGCGAAGGCGAUCUCCUGGAACAUUACUGACGCUAAGGCGUGAAAGCGUGGGGAGCAAACAGGAUUAGAUACCCGGGUAGUC